AACGAACGCUGGCGGCAUGCCUAACACAUGCAAGUCGAACGAGACCUUCGGGUCUAGUGGCGCACGGGUGCGUAACGCGUGGGAACCUGCCCUUAGGUUCGGAAUAACUCCCCGAAAGGGGUGCUAAUACCGGAUAAUGUCUUCGGACCAAAGAUUUAUCGCCUUUGGAUGGGCCCGCGUUGGAUUAGCUAGUUGGUAGGGUAAAAGCCCACCAAGGCGACGAUCCAUAGCUGGUCUGAGAGGAUGAUCAGCCACACUGGGACUGAGACACGGCCCAGACUCCUACGGGAGGCAGCAGUGGGGAAUAUUGGACAAUGGGCGAAAGCCUGGUCCAGCAAUGCCGCGUGAGUGAUGAAGGCCUUAGGGUUGUAAAGCUCUUUUACCCGGGAUGAUAAUGACAGUACCGGGAGAAUAAGCGCCGGCUAACUCCGUG
rnacentral:rRNA from 1 species